CGCCGCCUGACUGCCUUCCGGACGCGGGCUCGCGCCUCCCGGGCGCACCUCGGGGCCCGCGGGCCGAGUGUCGCUAGGACGUUUUCCGCAGGCCUAGCAGGCGGACCCCGCGGCUCGGAGCAAGCGGUGCAGGUGUGGACCGCACAACGGGGUGCACAGGAUUAGUUAAGCAAAGCAGGAACCCAGCUGGAAAAUUAAACGAGCCCUGGAUCUGCAAAGCAGGUCCCUUCGCGAGACCAAAGCCGUGAUCCCAACCUUAGCAACAUAAUUCUACUGGAGGUGUUGAUAUAUAUACUAAUCCAGAACAACCAUGUAGCAAGAGGAAUAAAAUGAAGUUCAGAAGUCUGUUUCGGGAAAUUUUGAAGCCCUUUAGAAAGAAAGAUUUCUACAUUUUGUUACAUGAAAUUCAUGCAAAUAUAUGUCAGGUGCCAGUGCUAUGGAGUUGUUGAAGAAUAAGCACAAUACCAUUUAUUACCACUUCUCAGUUGUAAAGAGGCUGUAACUCUGGUUGUCGAAAUAAAAUAAAAUGAAAUCUCCUAGAUGUGACACUGUGACCCCUGCCAGUUAUUUACAAACAAGUUAUCUGCACAUUUUGGGCUGUAAACAUAAAAGUAAACUCUCUGAAAGACUGCAAAUCAUCUUUAGGGUUUUCUUAAAGUAAAUACAACUAGUGGCCCAGGAACCAAAAGUUUGCUUGUUUCCAGUUAAUGUCACUGGUCACCAUAACUCACCCUUUUUCCUAUGAGGAAAUGUACAGCAUAUUUUAAAGAAAUGCAGUAUUGUUAUCUUCGUCAUAUUACCUGAAGAAUUCUAAUAAAGGAAAAAUGUUUCGGAAGAUGGU
ensembl:lncRNA ITGB8-AS1 ITGB8 antisense RNA 1